rnacentral:rRNA from 1 species
CCCUUAGAUGUUCUGGGCCGCGCGCGUGCUACACUGAGUGGAUCAGCGGGUCAGGUUGCGCGAAAGUGUUUCCUAAUCUUGAAAUCCGCUCGUGAUGGGGAUUGACGGUUGCAAUUUUCCGUCAUGAACGAGGAAUACCUUGUAAGCGCGGGUCAUCAUCCCGCGCUGAAUACGUCCCUGCCCUUUGUACACACCGCCCGUCGCUCCUACCGAUUGAGUGGUCCGGUGAGGCUUUGGGAUCUGAGCGGAAAGAGCGUUUCGCUGUUUCUGCUCGGAAAACUCAGUCGAACCUUAUCAUUUAGAGGAAGGAGAAGUCGUAACA